rnacentral:rRNA from 1 species
GAGUUUGAUCAUGGCUCAGAUUGAACGCUGGCGGCAGGCCUAACACAUGCAAGUCGAACGGUAACAGGAAGAAGCUUGCUUCUUUGCUGACGAGUGGCGGACGGGUGAGUAAUGUCUGGGAAACUGCCUGAUGGAGGGGGAUAACUACUGGAAACGGUAGCUAAUACCGCAUAACGUCGCAAGACCAAAGAGGGGGACCUUCGGGCCUCUUGCCAUCGGAUGUGCCCAGAUGGGAUUAGCUAGUAGGUGGGGUAACGGCUCACCUAGGCGACGAUCCCUAGCUGGUCUGAGAGGAUGACCAGCCACACUGGAACUGAGACACGGUCCAGACUCCUACGGGAGGCAGCAGUGGGGAAUAUUGCACAAUGGGCGCAAGCCUGAUGCAGCCAUGCCGCGUGUAUGAAGAAGGCCUUCGGGUUGUAAAGUACUUUCAGCGGGGAGGAAGGGAGUAAAGUUAAUACCUUUGCUCAUUGACGUUACCCGCAGAAGAAGCACCGGCUAACUCCGUGCCAGCAGCCGCGGUAAUACGGAGGGUGCAAGCGUUAAUCGGAAUUACUGGGCGUAAAGCGCACGCAGGCGGUUUGUUAAGUCAGAUGUGAAAUCCCCGGGCUCAACCUGGGAACUGCAUCUGAUACUGGCAAGCUUGAGUCUCGUAGAGGGGGGUAGAAUUCCAGGUGUAGCGGUGAAAUGCGUAGAGAUCUGGAGGAAUACCGGUGGCGAAGGCGGCCCCCUGGACGAAGACUGACGCUCAGGUGCGAAAGCGUGGGGAGCAAACAGGAUUAGAUACCCUGGUAGUCCACGCCGUAAACGAUGUCGACUUGGAGGUUGUGCCCUUGAGGCGUGGCUUCCGGAGCUAACGCGUUAAGUCGACCGCCUGGGGAGUACGGCCGCAAGGCUAAAACUCAAAUGAAUUGACGGGGGCCCGCACAAGCGGUGGAGCAUGUGGUUUAAUCGAUGCAACGCGAAGAACCUUACCUGGUCUUGACAUCCACGGAAGUUUUCAGAGAUGAGAAUGUGCCUUCGGGAACCGUGAGACAGGUGCUGCAUGGCUGUCGUCAGCUCGUGUUGUGAAAUGUUGGGUUAAGUCCCGCAACGAGCGCAACCCUUAUCCUUUGUUGCCAGCGGUCCGGCCGGGAACUCAAAGGAGACUGCCAGUGAUAAACUGGAGGAAGGUGGGGAUGACGUCAAGUCAUCAUGGCCCUUACGACCAGGGCUACACACGUGCUACAAUGGCGCAUACAAAGAGAAGCGACCUCGCGAGAGCAAGCGGACCUCAUAAAGUGCGUCGUAGUCCGGAUUGGAGUCUGCAACUCGACUCCAUGAAGUCGGAAUCGCUAGUAAUCGUGGAUCAGAAUGCCACGGUGAAUACGUUCCCGGGCCUUGUACACACCGCCCGUCACACCAUGGGAGUGGGUUGCAAAAGAAGUAGGUAGCUUAACCUUCGGGAGGGCGCUUACCACUUUGUGAUUCAUGACUGGGGUGAAGUCGUAACAAGGUAACCGUAGGGGAACCUGCGGUUGGAUCACC